rnacentral:rRNA from 1 species
GACGAACGCUGGCGGCGUGCUUAACACAUGCAAGUCGAACGGAAAGGCCUCUUUCGGGGGGUACUCGAGUGGCGAACGGGUGAGUAACACGUGAGUAACCUGCCCUCGACUUUGGGAUAACUUCAGGAAACUGGGGCUAAUACCGGAUAGGAGCUCCUGCUGCAUGGUGGGGGUUGGAGAGUUUCGGCGGUUGGGGGUGGACUCGCGGCUUAUCAGCUUGUUGGUGGGGUAGUGGCUUACCAAGGCUUUGACGGGUAGCCGGCCUGAGAGGGUGACCGGCCACAUUGGGACUGAGGGACGGCCCAGACUCCUACGGGAGGCAGCAGUGGGGAAUAUUGCACAAUGGGUGGCGGCCUGAUGCAGCAGCGCCGUGUGCGGGAUGACGGCCUUCGGGUUGUAGACCGCUUUCGCUCAUGACGAAGCUUUGUGUGACGGUAGUGGGUGAAGAAGCACCGGCUAACUACGUG